GAUGAAGAACGCAGCGAAAUGCGAUAAGUAAUGUGAAUUGCAGAAUUCAGUGAAUCAUCGAAUCUUUGAACGCACAUUGCGCCCCUUGGUAUUCCGAGGGGCAUGCCUGUUCGAGCGUCAUUAUAACCCCUCAAGCUCAGCUUGGUGUUGGGGCCUGCUGCACUGGCAGCCCUUAAAAUCAGUGGCGGCGCCAUCUGGCUCUAAGCGUAGUAAUUCUUCUCGCUAUGGAGUCCUGGUGGAUGCUUGCCAUCAACCCCCAAUUUUUCUAUGGUUGACCUGGAUCAGGUAGGGAUACCCGCUGAACUUAAGCAUAUCAAUAAGCGGAGGA
rnacentral:misc_RNA from 1 species